GCGGAGGAAAAGAAACCAACAGGGAUUGUCUUAGUAACGGCGAGUGAAGCGGCAAAAGCUCAAAUUUGAAAUCUGGCACCUUCGGUGUCCGAGUUGUAAUUUGAAGAAGGUAACUUUGGGAUUGGCUCUUGUCUAAGUUCCUUGGAACAGGACGUCACAGAGGGUGAGAAUCCCGUGCGAUGAGAUGACCAAUCCUAUGUAAAGUGCUUUCGAAGAGUCGAGUUGUUUGGGAAUGCAGCUCUAAGUGGGUGGUAAAUUCCAUCUAAAGCUAAAUAUUGGCGAGAGACCGAUAGCGAACAAGUACAGUGAUGGAAAGAUGAAAAGAACUUUGAAAAGAGAGUGAAAAAGUACGUGAAAUUGUUGAAAGGGAAGGGCUUGAGAUCAGACUUGGUAUUUUGCAUUCCUUACCUUCGUGGUGGGGUUCCUUGCAGUUUACUGGGCCAGCAUCGGUUUGGAUGGUGGGAUAAUGACAUUGGAAUGUGGCUCUGCUUCGGUAGAGUGUUAUAGCCAGUGUUGAUACCGCCUGUCUAGACCGAGGACUGCGUCUUUGACUAGGAUGCGGCAUAAG
rnacentral:rRNA from 1 species